GAUGAACGCUGGCGGCGUGCCUAAUACAUGUAAGUCGAGCGAACAGAUAAGGAGCUUGCUCCUUUGACGUUAGCGGCGGACGGGUGAGUAACACGUGGGUAACCUACCUAUAAGACUGGAAUAACUCCGGGAAACCGGGGCUAAUGCCGGAUAACAUUUAGAACCGCAUGGUUCUAAAGUGAAAGAUGGUUUUGCUAUCACUUAUAGAUGGACCCGCGCCGUAUUAGCUAGUUGGUAAGGUAACGGCUUACCAAGGCAACGAUACGUAGCCGACCUGAGAGGGUGAUCGGCCACACUGGAACUGAGACACGGUCCAGACUCCUACGGGAGGCAGCAGUAGGGAAUCUUCCGCAAUGGGCGAAAGCCUGACGGAGCAACGCCGCGUGAGUGAUGAAGGUCUUCGGAUCGUAAAACUCUGUUAUUAGGGAAGAACAAAUGUGUAAGUAACUGUGCACGUCUUGACGGUACCUAAUCAGAAAGCCACGGCUAACUACGUG
rnacentral:rRNA from 1 species